rnacentral:rRNA from 1 species
CAUGCAGUCGAGCGGUUGACGGGAGCUUGCUCCCUGAUUCAGCGGCGGACGGGUGAGUAAUGCCUAGGAAUCUGCCUAUUAGUGGGGGACAACGUUUCGAAAGGAACGCUAAUACCGCAUACGUCCUACGGGAGAAAGCAGGGGACCUUCGGGCCUUGCGCUAAUAGAUGAGCCUAGGUCGGAUUAGCUUGUUGGUGAGGUAAUGGCUCACCAAGGCGACGAUCCGUAACUGGUCUGAGAGGAUGAUCAGUCACACUGGAACUGAGACACGGUCCAGACUCCUACGGGAGGCAGCAGUGGGGAAUAUUGGACAAUGGGCGAAAGCCUGAUCCAGCCAUGCCGCGUGUGUGAAGAAGGUCUUCGGAUUGUAAAGCACUUUAAGUUGGGAGGAAGGGUUGUAGAUUAAUACUCUGCAAUUUUGACGUUACCGACAGAAUAAGCACCGGCUAACUCUGUGCCAGCAGCCGCGGUAAUACAGAGGGUGCAAGCGUUAAUCGGAAUUACUGGGCGUAAAGCGCGCGUAGGUGGUUUGUUAAGUUGGAUGUGAAAGCCCCGGGCUCAACCUGGGAACUGCAUCCAAAACUGGCAAGCUAGAGUACGGUAGAGGGUGGUGGAAUUUCCUGUGUAGCGGUGAAAUGCGUAGAUAUAGGAAGGAACACCAGUGGCGAAGGCGACCACCUGGACUGAUACUGACACUGAGGUGCGAAAGCGUGGGGAGCAAACAGGAUUAG